rnacentral:sRNA from 2 species
CACUAGCCCCGAUAAUAGCGGAAAUCCUUUUGUGCCGGGGUUCGGCACAAAAGAUUGAAGUGGAUAGCGGGAAAUAGC